CUUACGAAAACGGAUAACACUAGACCCAUGGGCGUGCCUUUUGUCUAGACCCACGGAGGGCCUCCCAAGACACGAACAAAAACUCCUCAACAUGAUUUACCUAGCGGCCCGCAAGGCCGUAGCACAACACUGGUCAUGCCCGGACCUCCCGCAGAUAUCUCUGGUCAGGAUAAAACUACGUGACAAUGAUCUGAUGGAUAAACUCACGGCCCAAGUGCAGAACACAUUGACCACAUUCCACAAGGUGUGGGAUCCAUGGGAGCAAUACGACACAUAGACUCAUGGCCCGGGGCGCGCGGCGGCAUCCAUGCGGUACACUUCAGUGGCGACAACUGGGACUCACCCAACGGUCGCCAUCAUACCAUAACCCGGAUGGGUGGAAGCGGCUCCACUGCAGAACGGGUACCUGGUUAUAGCCGGAACACGGGACGCAGCCCACUGGGACGGGCGGCACCGGGUCCACGGCCCCCAGGAGAUCAUUUCAUCUCCGUACUUCAAUACUUUACUAACUCUACUUGUCUCUACAUAUCUAUCCUUUCCUUAUAUGUUUUUAUCUAUUGCAAGCACACCAGACCUGUAAACAAACAGGAGGAGAGAAAAGCUCAAACACUAUCAUACUCUGCCUGAUUACGCACAUAGCAGAAUGACAGCACCCAUGGGGUGGCAUGGACAGAGCAGACAGGAAGGGCACAAUGCCUGACCUAACCAGGCAAGCUCAGAAUACCCCACACAUACGCUUGGGCCACAACAGCACAACACACUCAUCAAAGCCAACCUGAGAGUUCAUGACACAGCACACUCCUCAACAAUACUAC